rnacentral:rRNA from 1 species
UACGGGGGGGGCAAGCGUUGUUCGGAAUUACUGGGCGUAAAGGGCUCGUAGGCGGCCAACUAAGGCGGAUGUGAAAGCCCCCGGCUCAACUGGGGAGGGUCACGCGAUACUGAUCGACUCGAAGGCAGGAGAGGGUAGUGGAAUUCCCGGUGUAGUGGUGAAAUGCGUAGAUAUCGGGAGGAACACCAGUGGCGAAGGCGACUACCUGGCCUGUUCUUGACGCUGAGGCGCGAAAGCUAGGGGAGCAAACGGG